UGAUAUGUUUGAUAUUGGGUUGUUGAAUUAGGAACCAACUAAAUGUCAAACAUAUUCUU
rnacentral:pre_miRNA from 1 species